rnacentral:rRNA from 1 species
UACGGAGGGGCUAGCGUUGUUCGGAAUUACUGGGCGUAAAGCGCACGUAGGCGGACCAGCAAGUUAGGGGUGAAAUCCCGGGGCUCAACCCCGGAACUGCCCUUUAAAACUGUUGGUCUGGAGGUCGAGAGAGGUGAGUGGAAUUCCGAGUGUAGAGGUGAAAUUCGUAGAUAUUCGGAGGAACACCAGUGGCGAAGGCGGCACACUGGCUCGGAUACUGACGCUGAGGUGCGAAAGCGUGGGGAGCAAACAGG